rnacentral:snRNA from 1 species
AUAGAUACCUGGCAGAGGAGAUACCAUGAUCAUAAAAGUGGUUUUCCCAGGGUAAGGUUCAUCCAUUGCACUUCAGGUGUGCUGAUCCCUGUGAUUUCCCCAAGUGUGGGAAAAUCAACUGCCUAAUUUAUGCCAGGUAGGUGGGGCUCGCCAGCCAUGGAAGGCAGCCCAUCUAG